CUUGACGAUCACAGAGGCGUUGAACCACCUGAUCCCAUCCCGAACUCAGAAGUGAAAAGCGCCAUCGCCGAUGGUAGUGUGGGGGAUCCCAUGUGAGAGUAGGUCGUCGUCAAGCUUCUAAUACAGAAAGCCCUGAUCAGAAAUGGUCAGGGCUUUUCUCGUUUCUGA
rnacentral:rRNA from 1 species